rnacentral:rRNA from 1 species
UACGGAGGUGGCAAGCGUUGCUCGGAAUCACUGGGCGUAAAGGGCGCGUAGGCGGGGAGGUAAGUCGGGUGUGAAAUCCCUCGGCCCAACCGAGGAACUGCGCCCGAGACUGCUUCUCUUGAGUCCCGGAGAGGAAGGUGGAAUUCCCGGUGUAGCGGUGAAAUGUGUAGAGAUCGGGAGGAACACCGGUGGCGAAGGCAGGUCUCUGGGCAUUAACUGACGCUGAGGAGCGAAAGCAUGGGGAGCGAACAGG